rnacentral:lncRNA from 1 species
GAAGUAGAAGGUUCAAUCGGCCCAAUAUUUUGUUCCAUAACUUGAUACAAGUUAUAUGAACUCCUAGCUGUAGAUACUAUGCUAGCACAACAAGUUUCAACUGAUGGCUUUUCAUGAAGUCCAAUUUCUAAAUUGUUGUAUAAUUUUCUAACCAACAUCACUGUACCAUGUUCUUUAUAAAAUGGGUUUAAUAAAUUAGUUGUUAAAAGAAUUUGUGGAAUAGGAAAAUAAUAUUUUUAAAAUUUUUCAAUCAUAGCUUCAAUU